rnacentral:tRNA from 1 species
GAUAGAAUGGCUGAGUUAGGCAUUAGACUGUAAAUCUAAAAACAGAGGUGAUCUCCCUCUUUCUAUCA